rnacentral:rRNA from 1 species
AUUGAACGCUGGCGGCAGGCCUAACACAUGCAAGUCGAACGGUAACAGGAAGCAGCUUGCUGCUUUGCUGACGAGUGGCGGACGGGUGAGUAAUGUCUGGGAAACUGCCUGAUGGAGGGGGAUAACUACUGGAAACGGUAGCUAAUACCGCAUAACGUCGCAAGACCAAAGAGGGGGACCUUAGGGCCUCUUGCCAUCGGAUGUGCCCAGAUGGGAUUAGCUAGUGGGUGGGGUAACGGCUCACCUAGGCGACGAUCCCUAGCUGGUCUGAGAGGAUGACCAGCCACACUGGAACUGAGACACGGUCCAGACUCCUACGGGAGGCAGCAGUGGGGAAUAUUGCACAAUGGGCGCAAGCCUGAUGCAGCCAUGCCGCGUGUAUGAAGAAGGCCUUCGGGUUGUAAAGUACUUUCAGCGGGGAGGAAGGGAGUAAAGUUAAUACCUUUGCUCAUUGACGUUACCCGCAGAAGAAGCACCGACUAACUCCGUG